rnacentral:rRNA from 1 species
UACGGAGGGUGCGAGCGUUAAUCGGAAUUACUGGGCGUAAAGCGUACGUAGGCGGUUUGUUAAGCAGGAUGUGAAAUCCCCGGGCUCAACCUGGGAACUGCAUCCUGAACUGGCAGGCUAGAGUGCAGUAGAGGAUAGUGGAAUUCCUGGUGUAGCAGUGAAAUGCGUAGAUAUCAGGAGGAACAUCGAUGGCGAAGGCAGCUAUCUGGACUGACACUGACGCUGAGGUACGAAAGCGUGGGGAGCAAAC